AGUGAACGCUGGCGGUAGGCCUAACACAUGCAAGUCGAACGGCAGCACAGUAAGAGCUUGCUCUUACGGGUGGCGAGUGGCGGACGGGUGAGGAAUACAUCGGAAUCUACUUUUUCGUGGGGGAUAACGUAGGGAAACUUUCGCUAAUACCGCAUACGACCUACGGGUGAAAGCAGGGGAUCUUCGGACCUUGCGCGAUUGAAUGAGCCGAUGUCGGAUUAGCUAGUUGGCGGGGUAAAGGCCCACCAAGGCGACGAUCCGUAGCUGGUCUGAGAGGAUGAUCAGCCACACUGGAACUGAGACACGGUCCAGACUCCUACGGGAGGCAGCAGUGGGGAAUAUUGGACAAUGGGCGCAAGCCUGAUCCAGCCAUACCGCGUGGGUGAAGAAGGCCUUCGGGUUGUAAAGCCCUUUUGUUGGGGAAGAAAAGCAGCAGGUUAAUACCCCGCUGUUCUGACGGUACCCAAAGAAUAAGCACCGGCUAACUUCGUG
rnacentral:rRNA from 1 species